AGCCCUGCAGGUGAUGCCAAUGGUGCCAAGCAGGAGCCCGCCGAGUUUCUAAAGCUCAGUUCAGUUUAACGUUGGCCGGGACGGGAGUGUUUCCCGGAGCAGUUCUGUCUACAAGAACAGCGUUAAGAAAUUUGAAAUCAUCUUUGCCAUCAGGCCAGUCAGGAAAAAACAAAUGCAAGACUCGCCAAGCAGGAUCAUCAGAACUCGGUCCUCUGCCUUCAGUGAAUCUUAAGCCCCAGCAGCACAGCUUCGUUACUGCCACCGAGCAGGGAGGUCAUGCGUCUCCUCAUGGCACUGCUGGGAACGAGGGCGCUCCUCCAGGGGAGCGGUCUUACCCUGCUUGUCUCUGCUCAGGCCUCGGACCUCACCGUCGGAGGUGGCUGGUCCCGGGCUCUGCUCUCAGAGCCUGGGUGGAGCGUGACCGUUGUUCUGGGGAUUCAAACCAGGCCCACCUCGGCUCUCAGCAACAGUGCAGAGCCGCUCGGGCUGUAGGAGACUCCCAGAGGACUCCUGGAUUGACUGACCAUCACACUUCACCGGGCUGGGGGCUCACUCCACGCUGUUGGGAGAUCAUUCUCCAUGGGCGUCUGGCAUUUCUGUGUGUCUUGGAGCAUGGCGCUGAUGCUCUGGGUGCUGCAAGAGCAUUUCCAGCGCGUCUGUGAACUGACCUGCCUCAGCCAGCACAGCUACUGCCAGCCUUGGGGCAAAGGGCAGCCGGCUGACCCCCAGUUAUGAAAGGCUCGGCUCCCCUACGUUGUGUGUAGCUGUUGUUAGGUUUGCUCUGUGUUGCCCUGUGGGACUGGGGCUUGGAGAAUAAGAAAUACUGAAACUUGCGUUACUGCUGUAACUGUGACUCAGAAACUGUCCUUCAGCCCUGUCCCAGGAGUCUGGGGUAUUCUUCUGGUGUCUGGGAAGCAGUGGGCAUUGAACUUACUGGCUCUCAAGUAAGGAAGAAUCUCGGCACCUUUUGAGUUCUGAGCACACCCCUCAUGGAGGAGAUCCCUUGGCAGACACAGCCAGGACCUUCAACUUCCUUCUGAAUUUAACCUGGGAAGGGACACCGGGGAUGUUGGUUACCCUUUCUACACCACCAGGCUUGGAGGAACUGCCUCCAGCUCCCUCCUUGCCUGAAGAUGCCACAGGAUCAUUUCCAGUCCACCAUGAGUGGCUUCCCUGGGUUGGCACGGGGCACCAGUGAGAGUCUCACCUGAAGAUCCACUGAGAAGAGGAGUUUCUGGCUCAUUCAUUAAUCUCGAUUCUUGAUUUAUUAAAAGGGAAGCUUUUGUCACUUGGAAACACCCUUUUUCCUUUCCAUAAAGUCUAUUUUAUCAAGAUGGCGGCAUAACUUUACCUCCUGAUGCCAUGUUGUAAGUCAGAAUCUAUAGCUGACUUGUGCUCUGUGCAUUCUUGUUCAAAGGAUUCCAGUUCUCCUUGAGGCUGUGAGUAACCCUUGCUGGCUAGGGAAAAGAAACCUUGAUAAUAUUUCAAAAAUAUUUUUCCUGUAACAUGUAUACUGUUUGCAAAGACAGAUUAAACACAUGCAGGCUUUCUUAACAAGGCUUGGCCCAUGAGAAAGAGUAACCAACAAAUCAAAAGUGCACAUUUAUUACAAACCCUUCAAGCUGUCGUGACUUUAGUUCUGCUGAUAUAAAUAAGUUAUAUAUAGGGUUAAUGGACUCAGAAAACCUAUUAGUUCACUGGUAUUGAAAAUAAAUAUCACUAAUCUUAUCA
ensembl:lncRNA